UUUUUGCCUGUAUAACUGAUGAUGUUAUUCUGAUUUUAUUUCCUUGCUUAUUUGGUUCAAUUUGGGGUGGGUUGUUUGUCAACUUACAUAGUAUAGUAAGAUUGUAGAGUGAUUGUAUGAAUAUCUUUCCAGCUUGUUGUUUAUACAUCCAGAGCAACUAGCUCCCUUUCCUAUUCUUUAAUGUAUGAUGGCAUCUCGUAUACUUCUUUAUUGGCGAAAUUUAAGAUCAGGCUUCCUCUUAUUCUUUUAAGAGGAUGGACAAAAUUAGAAGUAAAUUAAGAGAUCAAAACUUGAAAAUUUGAAAAAAAAUAAAUCAUUCCAGUCUAGAAUGUUGUAUGAUAUUCAAGCCAGUUAUUCAUCUCUGUGCAUGCCAUCAUAUGAGACAAUGACCUUUUAUAAAACAAAAACUUCAAAAGUAAAUGUUUGGUAAUUUAUCUACUUCCAAAGAGCCUUCUGAAAUUUUGGGUGGUGACCUUCUAGUAGGACAUCUACAAGUGCAAAAUGGAAAGGAGAUUCCUAGGUUAACAAAUCUUGUCAGAACACAGGGAUUAAGAAUUUAAGACGUG
rnacentral:lncRNA from 1 species